AUGUACAACACAUAUGCCGGCAAAGUUGGAUUUAGUAUUAGAAAGAACCAGACAAAGCGUCGAGAUGAUGGUACUAUAUAUCAAAAAAGAAUUGUUUGCAGUAACCAAGGCCAUCGAGAAACCGAGUCGUCAAAGGACACUACAAGGACGGAUUGCAAUGCCCGUAUUCAGUUUAGUGUUAGCAAAAAGGGGAUUUGGACGGUUCAAAAGGUUGUAACCGAUCAUAAUCAUUAUCUUGCUAGUCCCAAUAAGGUGCACAAACUGAGAUCCCAACGACGUGUUAUAGAAGCGGACAGACAUCUAAUUGGCCAAAUUCGGGAAGCCGGGAUGAAACCAUCCCGGGUGUAUGACUUCAUGGUAGCGUUUUAUGGAGGACCGGACAAAGUGCCAUUCUCAAAGAUGGACUGCAACAACGAGAUUGGUCGUGAGGGCAAAAAGUACUUAGAAUCAAAUGAUUUGCAAACACUUCUCGAAUACUUGAAAAAUAAGCAGAGAGAGGAUCCAACAUUUUUUUAUGCCAUUCAAGUCGAUGAGAAAGAUGGUCGGAUUGCUAAUUUCUUUUGGGCAGAUGGCCAAUCUAUCAUGGAUUAUGCAUGUUUUGGAGAUGCUGUAUCAUUUGACACUACGUUUCAAACUAAUAAGUUUGAAAUGCCUUUUGCUCCAAUCCUAGGAACCAACCAUCACAAGCAGACUAUAAUUUUUGGGGCAGCGUUGUUAUUUAAUGAGACCAUUGAGUCAUUUGUUUGGUUGUUUGAAACCUUUCUGACAUCAAUGUUAGGUAAGCAUCCAAGCACAAUUUUCACUGAUCAAGAUGCGGCCAUGGCAGGAGCAGUUGCAUAUGUGUUUCGAAAUACAAGUCAUCGACUUUUUCUAUGGCACAUUUAUCUUAAUGCCGCUAAACAUCUCGGACAUGUAAUUCAUAAGCAUCCUGAGAAGUUUCUACUUGAUUUUAAGAGAUGUGCCUAUGAAGAUAGAUCAGAGUAUAAGUUCAACAAGAAGUGGCAUGAAUUGUUGGAUCAGUACAACCUCUAGGACAACGAAUGGAUGGCAAAGCUAUACGAGUUGAGGGAAAAGUGGGCUGUUGUGUAUCGUGACUCAUUUACAGCUGAUAUGAACUCGACUCAAAGGAGUGAAGGUAUGAAUAAUGUCUUCAAGCAAGAUUUCAUAGGAGACUUGGUCUCUCGGAACUCCUUGUAG
rnacentral:rRNA from 1 species